UCUUCUGUUUAUCUUUCAGAGUGAGGAGAGAGGAAGAGGUGGAGGGCAGGAUGAAUUGUGAGCCCUAUCAUGGACAUGAAAGAAUGGAGGAGAGGACAAAGACAGAACUAAUGUGUGAAAAGAUGAGAAAACAAAAGGAAAUAAGAAACAGGUAGAGAAGAGGAGAAGAGAGGAGGUGGAUGCAUAAUGACAUCUGAAUAUUUGGAAAGAGACAUCUGGAACAGAGUGAGGAGAGAGGAAGAGGUGGAGGGCAGGAUGAAGUGUGAGACCUUGAAAGUACAGGAGAGGAGAGCAGAGGAGACCAAUUUCCUGAAGUCUCUACAGAGGCUCUCUCUCACUGCUACAUUCACUUUCAAUACUCUGGGCCCACAGAGCGUCUUUGCUCCUUCAUUACCGCUAAUAAUCAAUAUUUCAUGCUUCAUAGCAUUUUUUUGUAUUGUGAAUUUGGGUCCUGGGUUCCCUGUUUUUGUGACAACAUAUGCAACAAAUGAUAAAUGUAGCUUAACUAUCUAACAACCCUGUUUUUGGGAUAUGUAAUUUGCUAUC